rnacentral:rRNA from 1 species
CCCUUAGAUGUCCUGGGCCGCACGCGUGCUACACUGACGCCUACAGCGAGUACUUCCCAGCCCCGAGAGGUGGCUGGUAAUCAGCAAUAGGCGUCGUGAUGGGGAUAGAUCUUUGGAAUUAUGGAUCUUGAACGAGGAAUGCCUAGUAAGCGCAGGUCAUUAGCCUGCGCUGAUUAAGUCCCUGCCCUUUGUACACACCACCCGUCGCUCCUACCGAUUUCGAGUGGUCCGGUGAAUCUUUCGGACUGCGCGCGGCCUCGUGCCGUGUCGCGGAAAGUCAGGUAAACCUUAUCACUUAGAGGAAGGAGAAGUCGUAACA